GGGAAGGUAGCUCAGUGGUAGGGCACUUGCCUCGCAAGCAUGAGGCCCUGGGUUCGAUUCCUCAGCACCA
rfam:Dipodomys ordii contig_61216, whole genome shotgun sequence.